rnacentral:rRNA from 1 species
CACGUAGGGCGCGAGCGUUGUCCGGAAUUAUUGGGCGUAAAGAGCUCGUAGGCGGCCUGUUGCGUCCGCUGUGAAAAGCCCCGGGGCUUAACCCCGGGUCGGCAGUGGAUACGGGCAGGCUAGAGGUAGGUAGGGGAGAAUGGAAUUCCCGGUGUAGCGGUGAAAUGCGCAGAUAUCGGGAGGAACACCGGUGGCGAAGGCGGUUCUCUGGGCCUGUACUGACGCUGAGGAGCGAAAGCGUGGGGAGCGAACAGG